rnacentral:rRNA from 1 species
GUAGAAUGCGUAUGUGCACGGCCUUCGCGCUCAAAUCCACUCAACCACUGUGCACCUAUAUCUGGUCGAAGUGAGUAAUCCGGGUCGUUUUGGGACGGAGUAAGAGAGUAGAAGGGAAGUCCGUUUUCUCGGCUUCCGUUUGAAAAGUGAAAAAUGUCUUGCCUCGGGUGGAAAUCUUUUGGCUUGCUUUUUUAUAAACCACAUUUGUUGUCUUGUGAAUGUGAUGCUCCUUGUGGGCGAGAAUAAAUACAACUUUCAACAACGGAUCUCUUGGCUCUCGCAUCGAUGAAGAACGCAGCGAAAUGCGAUAAGUAAUGUGAAUUGCAGAAUUCAGUGAAUCAUCGAAUCUUUGAACGCACCUUGCGCCCCUUGGUAUUCCGAGGGGCAUGCCUGUUUGAGUGUCAUGUUAAUCUCAAAUCGCAUGUCUUUGUUAAUCCAAAGGCUUGUGGUUUGGACCUGGAGGCUUUGCUGGCUUCGGUCGGCUCCUCUCAAAUGCAUUAGCUAGGCUUUGGCUUGCGUUUACGGUGUAAUAGUGUAAACCCUUUCGCCAGAACGCUUGCCUGACGGGUCUGCUUCUAAUCGUCCUCGUAUGGGACAAGGCCUCUGGCCUUCUUGACUACUUUGACCUCAAAUCAGGUAGGACUACCCGCUGAACUUUAAGCAUAUCAAUAAGCAGGAAGGAAUA